AGUUCAGAUUGUAGGCUGAAACUCGCCUAUAUGAAGUCGGAAUUGCUAGUAAUCGCGGAUCAGCAUGCCGCGGUGAAUACGUUCCCGGGCCUUGUACACACCGCCCGUCACACCAUGAGAGUCGAUAACACCCGAAGCCUGUAGUCUAACCGCAAGGAGGACGCAGUCGAAGGUGGGAUUGAUAAUUAGGGUGAAGUCGUAACAAGGUACC
rnacentral:rRNA from 1 species